AUGGCAACCUUCGACGCGGCCGUCUCCGGCCCGGACGCGGUGCCCGACCUCCGCCUCGCUGCGCACCAGUACAAUCAGCUCCUCCACCUGCUGGCCUCCGUGGACGGCACCGUCUUCCCCGUCCACCCGGCCGCCGCCGCGCGGCGCGUGUUCGCCGGCAUGCUGGAGGCCGGGGCGCCCCCGUCCGAGGCCACCAUCACCUCGCUCACCUGCGUCGCCGCUGCAGACGCCGAGGGCGCCUACGAAGCCUUCAGGCUCGUCUCCUCCAUGCGGCAGAAGUACGGCCUCGUGCCGCGCCUCCGGUCCUACAGCCCCGUGCUUGCUGCGUUCCAGCGCGCCGGAGAGGCUGGCAAGGCCUACGCGGUCGAGGCCCACAUGGCGGCCUCCGCUGCAUUGCCGGAAGAGCUCGAGCUCGCCCCGCUCCUUGAGGUCGGCGUGAAGGCCAGGGACACAGACAAGGUGUUUGAGUAUAUGCACAAGCUGCGGACGCUGGCCCUAUCCCACGCCGCUGGAGGCCCUCGCGGCCGCUGGGAGCCGGGGCGUGUUCCUCCACAAAACCUUGAUCUGGAGCUUCGACGAUGCAGGCCUCCAUGCUGGGCCGAGGAGGAGAAGAAGGGGAAGAAGGGGGGCACGUCGGAGGUGCCGGUCGAGCGUGCCAUCGAGGACGUUGAUGACGGCAGCAUGGGCGAGGCCGGGGAGGAGAUCAUGGUUGAUGCUUUACCGCCUGAAGUUGUUGACCUGGAACGAGAGGGUAAGGUGGAUGUGAGAAUGGAAGCGCACGCCGUGGUGCAGGAUGUCGUGGUGUCCGAAGCACCUGAGGUGCCGGAACCAGAGGUGAAGAGCGAGGAGGUGGUGGUCCGGGACACAACCAAGGUGCAUCUUGCGCAUCAACCAGAGACGAAGGCCGAUGAGGUGCUGGUCAGGGAUACGGACACGGCUGUUGUGGUGCAGGAAAUGGAAGCAAAGGGUGAGGUGUCAGGGUCUCGUGAGGCAGCUGGUGCGCAGACUACAGAGUAUGAUGAUUGCAUUAAGGAUUGUGAUACGGUUGUUGAGAGGGGAAGGGAACUUCAUGCUAACUGUACUAACUUCAAGAUGGUCUCAAGGGCACUGGCAAGGAAAGCAACUGCUCUUGUCAAACUUGCCAAGUCUUCCAAAGACUACGAUGUUGCCAUUGAUUCCAGAAGGCUCUAA
rnacentral:rRNA from 1 species